CCUACGGGAGGCAGCAGUAGGGAAUUUUCGGCAAUGGGGGGAACCCUGACCGAGCAACGCCGCGUGAACGAAGAAGUUAUUCGUAAUGUAAAGUUCUUUUAACAGGGAAGAAAGAGAAAUUUGACGGUACCUGAAGAAUAAGCUCCGGCUAACUACGUGCCAGCAGCCGCGGUAAUACGUAGGGAGCGAGCGUUAUCCGGAAUUAUUGGGCGAAAAGGGUGCGUAGAUGGCAUAGUAAGUCUUUUGUAAAAAUGCUGGGCUCAACCCAGUAGGGAAAAAGAUACUGCAAAGCUAGAGUAUGACAGAGGCAAGUGGAACUACAUGGGUAGCGGUAAAAUGCGUAAAUAUAUGUAAGAACACCAGUGGCGAAGGCGGCUUGCUGGGUCGAUACUGACAUUGAGGCACGAAAGCGUGGGGAGCAAACAGGAUUAGAUACCCCAGUAGUC
rnacentral:rRNA from 1 species